ACGGGAGGCAGCAGUGAGGAAUAUUGGACAAUGGAGGCAACUCUGAUCCAGCCAUGCCGCGUGAAGGACUAAGGCCCUACGGGUCGUAAACUUCUUUUGACGCAGGGCAAUAAGGCGUACGUGUACGCCGAUGAGAGUAUGCGUCGAAUAAGCAUCGGCUAACUCCGUGCCAGCAGCCGCGGUAAUACGGAGGAUGCAAGCGUUAUCCGGAUUUAUUGGGUUUAAAGGGUGCGUAGGCGGGAUGUUAAGUCAGCGGUGAAAGCGUGUAGCUCAACUAUACCAAGCCGUUGAAACUGGCGUUCUUGAGUGUAAACGAGGUAGGCGGAAUGUGACGUGUAGCGGUGAAAUGCUUAGAUAUGUCACAGAACCCCGAUUGCGAAGGCAGCUUACCAGCAUACAACUGACGCUGAGGCACGAAAGUGCGGGGAUCAAACAGGAUUAGAUACCCUGGUA
rnacentral:rRNA from 1 species